GACUGGUCUGAGUGCAGUGGUGUUUACAAAUAAUUGAUCACAGCUAGUUAGAGAUUUGUUCCUUUUCCAAUCCCAUUGCUUCAUUUGACUAGCCUGAA
ensembl:misc_RNA Y_RNA Y RNA